ACGAAGCCACUUUAUUUGAUUUCCUUCGGGAUUGAUUAUUUUGUGACUGAGUGGCGGACGGGUGAGUAACGCGUGGGUAACCUGCCUUGUACAGGGGGAUAACAGUUGGAAACGGCUGCUAAUACCGCAUAAGCGCACGGCAUCGCAUGAUGCAGUGUGAAAAACUCCGGUGGUAUAAGAUGGACCCGCGUUGGAUUAGCUAGUUGGUGAGGUAACGGCCCACCAAGGCGACGAUCCAUAGCCGACCUGAGAGGGUGACCGGCCACAUUGGGACUGAGACACGGCCCAAACUCCUACGGGAGGCAGCAGUGGGGAAUAUUGCACAAUGGGCGAAAGCCUGAUGCAGCGACGCCGCGUGAGCGAAGAAGUAUUUCGGUAUGUAAAGCUCUAUCAGCAGGGAAGAUAAUGACGGUNCCUGACUAAGAAGCACCGGCUAAAUACGUGCCAGCAGCCGCGGUAAUACGUA
rnacentral:rRNA from 1 species